UACGUAGGGCGCAAGCGUUAUCCGGAAUUAUUGGGCGUAAAGAGCUCGUAGGCGGUUUGUCGCGUCUGCCGUGAAAGUCCGGGGCUCAACUCCGGAUCUGCGGUGGGUACGGGCAGACUAGAGUGAUGUAGGGGAGACUGGAAUUCCUGGUGGUAGCGGUGAAAUGCGCAGAUAUCAGGAGGAACACCGAUGGCGAAGGCAGGUCUCUGGGCAUUAACUGACGCUGGAGGAGCGAAAGCUGGGGAGCGAACAGG
rnacentral:rRNA from 1 species